UGAGGAAUCUUCCGCAAUGGGCGCAAGCCUGACGGAGCAACGCCGCGUGGAGGAUGACGGCCUUCGGGUUGUAAACUCCUUCUCUAUCCGACGAGAACGGACGGUAGGGUAGGAAGAAGUCUCGGCUAACUACGUGCCAGCAGCCGCGGUAAUACGUAGGAGACGAGCGUUGUCCGGAGUUACUGGGCGUAAAGGGUGCGCAGGCGGCUUCGCGCGUGUGCGGUGAAAUCUCCUGGCUCAACUGGGAGGGUGCCGUGCAGACGGCGGAGCUUGAGGGUCGGAGAGGGGCGUGGAAUUCCGGGUGGAGCGGUGAAAUGCGUAGAGAUCCGGAGGAACACCGACGGCGAAGGCAGCGCCCUGGCCGACACCUGACGCUCAGGCACGAAAGCUGGGGGAGCGAAC
rnacentral:rRNA from 1 species